CAAAUUCCUAGGCCACUGUCAGCCGAAGUGCAGAAGUAAAGGUGGCAUGGUAUAUGGUGUAUCGCCACGCUUACUUCUGUGAUGCUGCGGUGGCUUGUGGUGCCUGGCACUUGGCCUGAGGCUCAAGGGGAAGAGGAAGUCCCAUCCCAUCCUUCCUGCAGCCCAGCUGGGACUAGCGGUUGAUCCCGGCUAUGGAUAGAAGCCACUCGCUGGGAUGUCCCCAGAUCUGCAAUGAAUUACCUCUCUGCCAGCUGUUCUGGGGGCCUGAAAUGAUGUACCUGCACAGGAAAAUCUGAAGGGAAAAACAGCAGUCUGAAGAUGAGUCAGCACUGAUUUCCAGCAAAAAGUGCUUAGAUACUGUUGGGGGCUGUAUCAAUGUGUAGGGCUGAAGUGGACUAUUUGAAAACAGAAAUCUUAUUAAGAAAAUCUUCAUCACGCAUGCUGGCUUUCCCCUCCCCCCGGUAUGGAGGAAAUGUAUUUUGUCUGUAUAAUGUUUCCCC